rnacentral:rRNA from 1 species
UUGUCUGAAAAAUAUUAUGAAUAAACAAUUCAAAAUACAACUUUCAACAACGGAUCUCUUGGCUCUCGCAUCGAUGAAGAACGCAGCGAAAUGCGAUACGUAAUGUGAAUUGCAGAAUUCAGUGAAUCAUCGAAUCUUUGAACGCAUAUUGCGCUCUUUGGUAUUCCGAAGAGCAUGCUUGUUUGAGUAUCAGUAAACACCUCAAAGCUUUUGGAUUUUUUUUUGAAAGUUUUGGACUUGAGCAAUCCCAACACCAAUCUUUUUCAGAUCGGCGGCGGGUUGCUUGAAAUGCAGGUGCAGCUGGACAUUCUCCUGAGCUAAAAGCAUAUUCAUUUAGUCCCGUCAAACGGAUUAUUACUUUUGCUGCAGCUAACAUAAAGGGAGUUUGACCGCAUUGGCUGACUGAUGCAGGAUUUUACAAGGGUCGGCAACGAUUCUUGUUAAACUCGAUCUCAAAUCAAGUAAGACUACCCGCUGAACUUAAGCAUAUCAAUAAGGCGGAG